rnacentral:lncRNA from 1 species
UAGAGAUUGAAAAUGUUAUUCUAAAAAAUUUUUACCAAUAGGAUGAAUAUAUAAUGAAGAGGAAAUAUUAAAAAUAUUUUUUUGUGAAAAAUAAACCAAUUAUUAAUAUUGUAGAAACAAAAAAAUUACAUAAUUACAUAUAUAGUCCGGCUGGGAUACUAUCCAUAGCACCAAUAAACCAAUUUUUCCACCGUUAGAUUUAACCUUUUGAUUAUUUUUAUCCGUUAGAUUGUACUAUUCAACCAACCAUCCACUCAACCCUAAGGGGCCGACAUCAUUCUAAUCAUGCAUUUCUUAAUCCAAGGAUUAAAAAAUUAAUAGUACCACUACCUUGGUGCUAUUAAUAGUAUUCCAGCCUAGUUCUUACAUAUAUACAUAUACAUUUAUACAUAUAUGUAUACGUAUAUCUAUUUUAUGGUAACAUUUACAGAAUGCACCUUGGACAGCAACCUUUUUGCUCUCUGCUCCACAGCAUAGCACAGAUUGCACAAAAGUCCCUCCAACCUGAAAAUUUCGCAGUUCCAUGCAUAAAAUGUCGGAAUAUUUGUGAAAUGUCCCCGGGGUUCAUUCUCUCUCUCAAACUUCAACUGCAAGCCAAAAUCCACAGAAAUCUCAAAAUUUCAUGAAACUUAAGUCCACUCGAUCUUCUCUAAGUCUAGUUUCACAUGAUAUCCGCUUAUGAAAAUUCCAUAAUUUCUCACAUAAAAUGAUAAUUCCUUCGCGCAUUGUCCUAUUAUCACAAAUUGCAAAAAUUACAAUUUAGUCCCUCUUACUCACAAAUUCAUACCCAAAACUCACCCAUAAGUGCAUAUUGCUCAUAAGUAUCUUCACCUCAAAUAUCACGCAUUUUGAUAUAUGAAAUAUCAUGCUUUUUACAUAAAUACUCCAAUUAGGCAAAUUUGCACUGAUGCAAUAUCAUCUCCAAAUUAUCACCAUAUCACACCAAACUACACGGGGGCCCGCUAUAGGACUUACAACACUGAUGGACCAAGAACGUGGAACUUUUCGUUUCAUCGAAAAUCACUUCUAAGUACGUGGCACUUUUCGUUUCAUCGAAAAUCACUUCUAAAUACGUGAUAAAUCACCCUCUUUAGAGAAAUUCAUCGUAAAAUAUUCUCGAUUACUACAGAUCAUUCGCCAAUGGCUAUUCUACUUCCUAAUAAAUAAAAACAUAUACGGUGGUUUGUAUCGUAUGCAUAAACCAUAAUCAUAGAGAAAUGCUAAGCCUACAACUCAUU